CAAUAAUUAAAAUGGCAGU
rnacentral:snRNA from 1 species